rnacentral:rRNA from 1 species
GACGAAUUUUGGCGGCGUGCUUAACACAUGCAAGUCGAACGGUAAGGCUCCAGCUUGCUGGGGUACACGAGUGGCGAACGGGUGAGUAACACGUGGGUGACCUGCCCUGCACUUCGGGAUAAGCCUGGGAAACUGGGUCUAAUACCGGAUAGGACCGCACCGUGAGGGUGUGGUGGAAAGUUUUUUCGGUGUGGGAUGGGCCCGCGGCCUAUCAGCUUGUUGGUGGGGUAAUGGCCUACCAAGGCGGCGACGGGUAGCCGGCCUGAGAGGGUGGACGGCCACAUUGGGACUGAGACACGGCCCAGACUCCUACGGGAGGCAGCAGUGGGGAAUAUUGCACAAUGGGCGGAAGCCUGAUGCAGCGACGCCGCGUGGGGGAUGACGGCCUUCGGGUUGUAAACUCCUUUCACCAUCGACGAAGGGUUUCUGACGGUAGAUGGAGAAGAAGCACCGGCUAACUACGUGCCAGCAGCCGCGGUAAUACGUAGGGUGCGAGCGUUGUCCGGAAUUACUGGGCGUAAAGAGCUCGUAGGUGGUUUGUCGCGUCGUCUGUGAAAUUCCGGGGCUUAACUCCGGGCGUGCAGGCGAUACGGGCAUAACUUGAGUACUGUAGGGGAGACUGGAAUUCCUGGUGUAGCGGUGAAAUGCGCAGAUAUCAGGAGGAACACCGGUGGCGAAGGCGGGUCUCUGGGCAGUAACUGACGCUGAGGAGCGAAAGCAUGGGGAGCGAACAGGAUUAGAUACCCUGGUAGUCCAUGCCGUAAACGGUGGGCGCUAGGUGUGGGUUUCCUUCCACGGGAUCCGUGCCGUAGCUAACGCAUUAAGCGCCCCGCCUGGGGAGUACGGCCGCAAGGCUAAAACUCAAAGGAAUUGACGGGGGCCCGCACAAGCGGCGGAGCAUGUGGAUUAAUUCGAUGCAACGCGAAGAACCUUACCUGGGCUUGACAUAUACAGGAUCGCGCCAGAGAUGGUGUCUCCCUUGUGGCUUGUAUACAGGUGGUGCAUGGUUGUCGUCAGCUCGUGUCGUGAGAUGUUGGGUUAAGUCCCGCAACGAGCGCAACCCUUGUCUUAUGUUGCCAGCACGUUGUGGUGGGGACUCGUAAGAAACUGCCGGGGUUAACUCGGAGGAAGGUGGGGAUGACGUCAAAUCAUCAUGCCCCUUAUGUCCAGGGCUUCACACAUGCUACAAUGGUCGGUACAGUGGGUUGCCAGUCCGUGAGGGCGAGCUAAUCCCGCAAAGCCGGUCUCAGUUCGGAUCGGGGUCUGCAACUCGACCCCGUGAAGUCGGAGUCGCUAGUAAUCGCAGAUCAGCAACGCUGCGGUGAAUACGUUCCCGGGCCU